rnacentral:rRNA from 1 species
UAAUACAGAGGGGGCAAGCGUUGUUCGGAAUUACUGGGCGUAAAGGGCGCGUAGGCGGCCUUCUAAGUCAGACGUGAAAUCCCUCGGCUCAACCGGGGAACUGCGUCUGAGACUGGAAGGCUUGAAUCCGGGAGAGGGAUGUGGAAUUCCAGGUGUAGCGGUGAAAUGCGUAGAUAUCUGGAGGAACACCGGUGGCGAAGGCGGCAUCCUGGACCGGUAUUGACGCUGAGGCGCGAAAGCCAGGGGAGCAAACGGGAUUAGAUACCCCGGUAGUCCUGGCCCUAAACGAUGAAUGCUUGGUGUGGCGGGUAUCGAUCCCUGCCGUGCCGAAGCUAACGCAUUAAGCAUUCCGCCUGGGGAGUACGGUCGCAAGGCUG